AGGGGACCGGGAGUAGGUUCGGGGCUCUCCGGUGAGCGAGGGUUGUCAGGGAAGGAGGCUGGCGCGGACACGGAGGUGGCGGAACUGCUGCCCUUCCUGGUUCCCGGAGCGCGAGCAGACCUACAGGCAGCCGCGGCGCAGCACGUGCUGGCUCUGACUGGUGUGGGCUCGGGCCGCACGCUGUUGGCUGGACAGACAGCGUUGUUGCGGGCUUUGAUCGACCUAGCGGUGGCCCCGAUCCCAGCUCCUUCCCGCGAUGCCUCCCGUGCGCUGGUGAACUUGGCUGCUGAUCCGGAUCUGCACUGGCAGAUGCUGGCGGCGGACCCGGAGCUGCCUGUCCGCCUGCUGCGCUGCGUGUUGGACCCUCAGUGGCCCUGGGCUGAAGAGUUGGCUGCAGUGCUGGCCAACCUGAGUCGCGAGCCGGCUCCGUGUGCUGUGUUAACGGAGAAGCUGGUGGCCGCUGAGCCCGAGCGACUGGGUCUGGAGCGGCUUGUCAGCGCGCUGUGCAUGCCCAGUUACAACGCGUCCGCACCCCUGCAUUACCUGGGGCCGUUGCUCUCCAACCUUAGCCAGCAGGCGGAGGUGCGUGCUUUUCUCCUGGACCCGGACAGGUGAAACCCAGUCGCUUGCGGGGUCGGGAAGGGGUAAGGGGGGAGUGGCAGUAAACAAGGAGAGCAGUGAGUAUCCUCUUCCAACAGG
rnacentral:lncRNA from 1 species